rnacentral:lncRNA from 1 species
UCCAAAAUGCCUGGACUGGACAGCUUGACAGCCAACAUAAAUUGAGACAGAAAAACCUGUCUUGACUUUUUAACUUAAACUGCCACARAAUGAAUUUGUGCACUACACUGUUUUAAAUUAUUGACAUUACACUGUGCUAUGGCACUUCAUUUAACUUAGAUAGGACAAAAAUGGUAUUGCCUAUUAGUUGGUAACUUGAUUAUGUGGUACCUUGGCUUUAGGUUUUAUUAGCAUGAGACACCUCUGGCAUGCCUAGCUUCCAGGUAACUCCCUACCUGCAUCAAAAUUCAUCUUGCAUAGUUCCACUGAACAUGAAGAUCCUUAUUUGAUAAGCCUUUGAAAGCUGACAUUCUUCUUCAUAAGAGAGUGUAUUUAAAUGGAUGUUCAUCAGUGAACAAUAGGUUAACUGACAAGUGGUUGGCCAAGGUUUUGAUGACAGCAUCUAACCAGGUGACUGCAUACAACUCGUGGGCAUAUAACCAAGCAUUCUUCUCAUUGCUUGUAUCAGAUGAUCAAAACUGAAGGAACCUCAAACCGUCUUGGACUGAACACUGAAAAACCAUGUGACAAGUGCUUUUCUUCCUGAUGGUGGCACAGUCCCUUUGACUUCCCAGAUGUUCACGCAUGGCGGCAUGUUGGGCUGCAAGGAAAUACUCAUUUUCAACCUAUGUUAUGAGAAGGCUGAAAUCUCUGGUGGCUGGAUAACCUAGCGGCAGGAGGCUGUUCACCUCAUGACAGCUGCUGACUAUGAGAGGCCCUGCAAUUGGUGUAUGUAUACAGUUCAAGAAGAUUUCUUGAAGAUCAGGGCAACAACCAGAUUUUGAGGUGGCGCAGAAGAUUUGUCCUUGCUACAGUGGUAUUGAACAGAUUUUUUUGGUGGGAGUGUACAGCCUCCUUUGCUAGUAAUAACUUUGAUUCAAUCCAGAUGAAUGUACUGCUUUCCUAUACAUGUUCUUAGAGGGGAGAGGCAUGUGAAGCUUCAGGUGGAAGUAGGGCAUUGGUCUCAGCUGUGUGGGGAGGGGCAGUGAAUGUUGCCAGUCUGAGCAGGAGGGUUGUUUUAGGCUUUUAAAAGCAGUUCUCCAGAGUUGUGAGCUGUAGGAGAAAUCUUCCAUGUGGCAAUUAUCUAUCUUGGAAACUGCCUGAUGAUUUCCUGCCCUGUGUGAGUACUUGACUCUGUCCCAGGAACUUUAGCAAGUCACACAGCCAGGAUGACAUGCUCAUGCAACCUUUUUAGGCUUCCAAGAGGCUAUACAGCCUCUUCCCCUCCACAAAUGCAGUAGGGUAUGAGCUAAUGGCACUACACACAGCCCCACAAGGAAUAACAAUGGCAAAUAUUGUUUGAGGUGUCAGUGUGCUUGGUAUGAAAGGCAGUUACAUGUUACAGUAAUGUUCUUCCCCUUUUCCCUCU